rnacentral:tRNA from 1 species
GGAGGUGUGGCUCAGUGGUAAGGAGCACCCACUUAGGAAGUGUGUGGGGCCUCGAGUUCAAACCCAAGCACCACCA